GGGAAUGUGGCUCAGUGGUAGAGUGCAUGCCUAGCAUACAUGAGGCCCUGGGUUUGAUUCCUCAGUACUA
rnacentral:tRNA from 1 species